GCUUUACAUAACUUGAAGGGCGAGGCGGGCAGCUGCAGGUGGCGGCGCCGGGCUGGCCAAGGACCGAAGCCACGAGAAACCGCGCCGCCGUCUCCCGCGACCCUGGAGCGGCGACCCCGUUACCUUUCCAAAUGCCCAGGGAGAGCUGGGACUCGUCCAGGUUCACCACAUAGUCUCCCAGGAACCGGUUCAACACUUCCACGACCACCGACUCGAAUACCAUUUUUUUUCCUCUCUGCCGCGGAGGGCACCGCGGCACUACCCGGGCUGCUCCUCCCUCGAGACGGCUCGGCUUACCGGCUCCCGGCCCGCUCCAGCUACGGUGCGGGUGCUGCCGGGUCCCCUCAACCCGACCGCGAGCCCCACAGAAGGAAGGUAGCCGCUCGCACCACGCGUGCGCAGCUCGGGCUGCGCGUGGGGGCGUGACCGACGCGGAACUGGAGGCGCGGCCGGGAGCGAGAGUGAAGGACGGCGGCUGCGCAGCCGCGGGCCCGCCCUUGCCCGCGAGCGGACCGCCGGGCCUCUCCCGCCGGCCGCGCCUCCUAUCCGUCGCUUAG
rnacentral:lncRNA from 1 species